rnacentral:misc_RNA from 1 species
GAAAUGCGAUAUGUAAUGUGAAUUGCAGAAUUCAGUGAAUCAUCGAAUCUUUGAACGCACAUUGCGCCCGCCAGUAUUCUGGCGGGCAUGCCUGUUCGAGCGUCAUUUCAACCAUCAAGCCCCCGGGCUUGUGUUGGGGACCUGCGGCUGCCCGCAGGCCCUGAAAACCAGUGGCGGGCUCGCUGUCACACCGAGCGUAGUAGCAAUCACCUCGCUCAGGGCGUGCUGCGGGUUCCGGCCGUUAAACAGCCUUACAAACCCAAGGUUGACCUCGGAUCAGGUAGGAAGACCCGCUGAACUUAAGC